rnacentral:misc_RNA from 1 species
UGGUUCUGGCAUCGAUGAAGAACGCAGCGAAAUGCGAUAAGUAAUGCGAAUUGCAGAAUUUCCGUGAGUCAUCGAAUCUUUGAACGCACAUUGCGCCCUUUGGUAUUCCGAAGGGCAUACCUGUUCGAGCGUCAUUAUCCUUCCCUCCACCCCCCGGGGUGCGGUCUUGGAACACAGUCGGGUCGACCGACUGGUUCUCGAAAACAAUGACGGCGUCCGUGGGACCCUCGAUACAACGAGCUUUUCACAAGGCACGUAUCGAGUUGCAAGGACCUUCCGGGCCGGUCUAACCUAUUUUACAUUUCUCAGGUUGACCUCGGAUCAGGUAGGAAUACCCGCUGA